rnacentral:lncRNA from 1 species
UUAGCUUUUCGAUUGAAAGAUUGUAUAGUUAUUGUGAGACCCAAUUUCUGCCCGGGCCCAAAUAACAAAAUAAAAAUAAACUCAAAAAUAAAAAGUCCAUUUACAAACAAGCUCAAACCAAACCCUAAGCCCAAAUUAACCCAAGCCCGCCACAUUAACAGUUUUGGCAGAACGGCACAGCAAACCCUAGGGCGCGCCGCAUGCCUCUGCCACCACCGUUGGCCUCCUCUGACACCUACAGAAAGGAGUGAAUGCAAAGCAACAGAGGAUUACAAAGAAGUAAAGAGCAAAAAAACAAAAAGAUGAAGAUAAAACGGGUGUAAUACGGCUAUAAAAGCCAAAGGAUUCUCAUUGUAACCUUUUUACGAAUACACAGAUAUUGGAAUCAAAAAACAGAAAACAAGAUUUAAAAAGGUUGAUUUGAAUUGCUUUCUCUUCAUUUUUUUCUUAUCUUUUGCGCAUUUAUUUAUUUUUAUUUCUGCAAAUCGAUCUUAAAAAUAAUCAAUAGUAAAAAAGAAACGAAAAGAAGCUACUUGAACCGGCCCUUAGGCUUGCCGUCGAUGGUCCUCCACCGUCGCCGGACUUGGGUUCAAGGAGGGGCCAAAGCUUUUCUCUUUCCCUUUGUUUCCCCGUUCCAUAGCCUCAACCUCUGAAUGCGCUUCAAUGAGCCAAUAGUAGGCGCCCUCGCAUGGCUCCGGCCACCAGGCAGUGAGGAGGCGUGACGGCGGCGGGGUUCCUAACCUUGGAACCCUAGCAGAGAAAAGGAGUCUCCCUUUUGUUUUAUUUUUAUUUUUUGUGUAUUCUUUGCAAAAG